rnacentral:rRNA from 1 species
GACGAACGCUGGCGGCGUGCCUAAUACAUGCAAGUUGAGCGCUGAAGGUUGGUACUUGUACCAACUGGAUGAGCAGCGAACGGGUGAGUAACGCGUGGGGAAUCUGCCUUUGGGCGGGAGACAACAUUUGGAAACGAAUGCUAAUACCGCAUAAAAACUUUAAACACAAGUUUUAAGUUUGAAAGAUGCAAUUGCAUCACUCAAAGAUGAUCCCGCGUUGUAUUAGCUAGUUGGUGAGGUAAAGGCUCACCAAGGCGAUGAUACAUAGCCGACCUGAGAGGGUGAGCAGCCACAUUGGGACUGAGACACGGCCCAAACUCCUACGGGAGGCAGCAGUAGGGAAUCUUCGGCAAUGGACGAAAGUCUGACCGAGCAACGCCGCGUGAGUGAAGAAGGUUUUCGGAUCGUAAAACUCUGUUGGUAGAGAAGAACGUUGGUGAGAGUGGAAAGCACAUCAAGUGACGGUAACUACCCAGAAAGGGACGGCUAACUACGUG